GGAUGUUUUAUUUUCUUUAAAUCAAGCGGGUUACAUUUCAUUCGUUUUUACACAAUCUGAUAUUUGGAGGCAUUUGCAAAUAUGCUCAUAAAUUACAUGAUUUGUAAUCCCAAAGAAUGAGGUGGUUGAUGAUCACUAUUGGGAUCAACAGUGAUCACCCUACUAAUGUAGGCAUUACGUAUGCAGGCAGAAAAAGAAAAGUUCCCAUUAAGGUCUCAUGUGAAACACCACAGGUCUGAAAUAAUCAGGAACACAUGAAAAUUGCACAAAAAUGAAUUUCUCUCCAACCUUUUGCUAAAGAGACGUUGACAGGCCCACAGAGAGCCUGGAGCUCACGGGACAACAUUCACACACAUUCUGCUUCAUGAAGAGGUCAGAUAAUCAUCAGACCAUAGACAUUACAUGUAAGGACACUGAACAUUUGGCCGGAUUACACAUAGAAAUGCAAUCCAAAACAAAAUGGGUAAAGAUAAAGCAUGUUUAUUGAUGCGGCAAACAAAGGUUCAAAUAUCCUCCAAAGCACUUCAAGCCCUCAAAGAAUGAAACUCAAAACGCAGAUGAGGUAAAAGAAGAAACUUCUAAAUUAAAGUGGAGCGACCCAGGGACAAGUCUGGUUUGGGUUAAAGAUUAUGGAUGGUUAACUUUGUGUAACGUGUUUGGACAAGCAAGUUUAGGUUUUAGGCAAGCGACUUCAGGUAUUAGGCAAGCGAGUUUAGCCAAGCGAGUACAGGCAAGCGAGUCAAGCUAAGCGAGUUUAGGUUUUAUGCAAGCGAGUUUAGGUUUUAUGCAAGCGAGUUUAGACAAGUGAGU